rnacentral:rRNA from 1 species
UACAGAGGUCCCAAGCGUUGUUCGGAUUCAUUGGGCGUAAAGGGUGCGUAGGCGGCGCGGUAAGUCGGGUGUGAAAUCUCGGAGCUUAACUCCGAAACUGCAUUCGAUACUGCCGUGCUUGAGGACUGGAGAGGAGACUGGAAUUUACGGUGUAGCGGUGAAAUGCGUAGAUAUCGUAAGGAAGACCAGUGGCGAAGGCGGGUCUCUGGACAGUUCCUGACGCUGAUGCGCGAAAGCCAGGGGAGCGAACGGG